GUGAACGAGGUGUGGGCAGUGUAGAAGCCGUCUGUGCCGGAGCAAACGCGAUAAGUUCACCGCCUGGGGAGUACGGUCGCAAGGCUAAAACCCAAAGGAAUUGACGGGGGCCCGCACAAGCAGCGGAGCGUGUGGUUUAAUUCGAUGCAACGCGAAGAACCUUACCUGGGCUUGACAUGUACGUAGUAGUGAAGGGAAACCGGAACGAGCCUUCGGGCAGCGUAGACAGGUGCUGCAUGGCUGUCGUCAGCUCGUGUCGUGAGAUGUUGGGUUAAGUCCCGCAACGAGCGCAACCCGUGUUGCUAGUUACAAGUGUCUAGCGAGACUGCCGGUAACAAGCCGGAGGAAGGUGCGGAUGAUGUCAAGUCAGCAUGGCCUAUAUGUCCAGGGCUACACACACGCUACAAUGGCUGGUACAAAGAGAAGCGAAAGGGAGACCUGAAGCGAAUCUCAUCAAAGCCAGUCAUAGUUCGGAUUGCAGGCUGCAACUCGCCUGCAUGAAGUCGGAGUUGCUAGUAACCGCAGGUCAGCAAUACUGCGG
rnacentral:rRNA from 1 species